GCCUAGAGUAAUAAGAUUAGUAUAGACAUGGUGUCUAGACUACAUCUUGUUAGUGUGGGCUGCUUGUCGCACUGCAAGACACCUAUAGCGAGAGUGACAGUCCUCUCUAGGUGGAAAGUUCCUUGUUUAUGUGUUAGGCAAGUUAACAACAGUGAAAGCCGGGCUGAGUAGGGUGCUGCCUCGGUAGGGGAGGAGGUGGAAAACCGCUUUAACUCGCUCUACCAUUUCAGUUACUACCCCCUGUAAGGGAGGAGGUGGUAAACGUCACUUUACGUAGAGUAUCGUGACCAGAUAUUAGUGCUAGUUAGACCUCUCUAUACCCAACCUUUACCCUUUGAUCACAUCAUGUCAAUCUUGAACCUAGUUAGUUCACUUCAUGUUCCCCCUUGAAAAUACAAUACCUGGAACACUUGCGGUGAAGGCUACAUUGACUAGGCCUGGGCAAAUUACCCGAUACCCAUUACCCGUACCCAAUUACCUCGACCCGGACCCGAAUUACCCAAACCCGAGGUACCCGAUCCUAAAUUCGGAUAGUGAUUUUGAUUAGCCAAAAUUAGUUUGGAUAAUUCGGGUAAUACCCCCCG
rnacentral:lncRNA from 1 species